rnacentral:misc_RNA from 1 species
AACGCACAUUGCGCCCCUUGGUAUUCCAUGGGGCAUGCCUGUUCGAGCGUCAUUUGUACCUUCAAGCUCUGCUUGGUGUUGGGUGUUUGUUGGGUCCUCUGCGACCCGACUCGCCUUAAAUGUAUUGGCAGCCGGCGUAUUGGCUUAUGAGCGCAGCACAUCUUGCGAUUGUAGCCGCUAUUCUGGCGUCCAACAAGCCUACAACCAUCACUUUUGACCUCGGAUCAGGUAGGGAUACCCGCUGAACUUAA